GCUAAACGCGAAGAACCUUACCCACACUUGACAUGCCUCUUUUGGCUUUCAGAGAUGAUUGCCUUCGGUUCGGCCGGGGAGUGCACAGGUGCUGCAUGGCUGUCGUCAGCUCGUGUCGUGAGAUGUUGGGUUAAGUCCCGCAACGAGCGCAACCCUUAUCGUAUGUUGCCAGCAUUUAGUUGGGCACUCAUGCGAGACUGCCGGUGAUAAGCCGGAGGAAGGCGGGGACGACGUCAAGUCAUCAUGGCCCUUACGUGUGGGGCUAGAAACGUGCUACAAUGGGAGUGACAAUGAGCAGCGAGGUCGCGAGGCCAAGCUAAUCUCUAAAAGCUCUCUCAGUUCAGAUUGCAGUCUGCAACUCGACUGCAUGAAGUUGGAAUCGCUAGUAAUCGCAAAUCAGCAUGUUGCGGUGAAUACGUUCCCGGGGUCUUGUACACACCGGAGGUCGGUGGGGAGG
rnacentral:rRNA from 1 species